rnacentral:lncRNA from 1 species
GAAAUCAAUAUCAUUUUCUUGUUAGUGUUUCUUUGUUUCUUUAUCCUUAUAAAAUCUCAAGUUUCUUAUAUCGAAUAUGUCUUUUUCAUGUAAGUUUGAGUUGUUUAAUUUUGUUAUGUUAUUCUAAGUUUUCAAUGCUGAGAUGAAAGGGUGAAACUCUUGCAAAAUAUUAAGGUAAGUUCCAUACUCAUCAUUUGAGCUUAAAUCAAUUAUCAAUCACUUGUCAUAAUCAUACUCGUAAAGUAAGAUCUUUUAUUUGUUGUAGACAAUAGAUGACACAAUGAAUGCUUGGAUAAAUUAACCUCGAUUUGUUGUAGACCUAUAAAAAAUUUUCAUAAUAAAUAUUUGAAAUCUUUUUUAUAAGUUUGAAGUUAUCAAGUGAUUAUAAUACCAUAUGUUAUAUUUUUGGACUAAACUUAAAUAGUUAAAUUUUCAUAUUACAACAUCUUUUGCUUAUGGAUUCAUUUGCUAAACUCUUGGACUUAUUGGAUAAUCAUAUUGGACACUCCUUUGAUGGACAUACCUUUUCUCAUGGAUUCAUAUGCUAAUUAUUUGAUGUACAUUGCUAGAUUAUCCGAUUGGGAUCUCUAUUUUGUGUGGAUUUUAAUUGAGUACUAAAACUUAAUCUUAAUAUGAACCACGAGUUGAUCCUCUAACCCUAACAUAUUUUCUUCCAAGUAUCUAUUAUUAUUAGUUAAUUUCUUUCAUUGAUUUUUAUUUUUAUUUCUAGUGUUUCUUGCUACUAUUUUCAUUUUGGAGACUUAUUCUAAAGUUAUGUGUUAAAUAUUUUUUCUAGCAUAAUAGUUGUACUAUUGUAAGUUCUAGUCAACUUCCCUAUGGAUUGACCUCGGACUCUCGAGAUUUUAUUACUUGUAUAACUUGCACUUGAGUUGUAAACUUAGAAAGUUUCUAUCAAGUUUUUGGCGCCAUUGCCAGGAAGGUAAGAUUUAGUUUACAAGUUUAUAAGUAUUUUUUUCUUUAUAUAUAUUUGGCUGGUUCUACUGCCUAUAGUAUUUUUCUUUAUUUAAUCUUUUUUUUUCUUUUAAAAGGAUGGUUGUACCGCC